rnacentral:rRNA from 1 species
UUGGUUUCUUCGGACACUCUUCAAGGUGCUGCAUGGUUGUCGUCAGCUCGUGCCGUGAGGUGUCGGGUUAAGUCCCAUAACGAGCGCAACCCUUACUGUUAGUUGCCAGCGGGUCAAGCCGGGAACUCUAACGGGACUGCCACCGUAAGGUGAGAGGAAGGUGGGGAUGACGUCAAAUCAGCACGGCCCUUAUGUCCAGGGCUACACACGUGUUACAAUGGUCGGUACAAAGGGCAGCUACACCGCGAGGUGAUGCUAAUCUCUAAAGCCGGUCUCAGUUCGGAUCGAAGUCUGCAACCCGACUUCGUGAAGUUGGAUUCGCUAGUAAUCGCGCAUCAGCCAUGGCGCGGUGAAUACGUUCCCGGGCCUU